GACGGAGGGUGCAAGCGUUGUUCGGAUUGACUGGGCGUAAAGGGCGUGUAGGCGGUUGGUUAAGUCGGGUGUGAAAGCCUGGGGCUCACCCCCAGAAGUGCAUCCGAAACUAGCCAGCUGGAGCGCGAUAGAGGAGGGUGGAAUUCCUGGUGUAGCGGUGAAAUGCGUAGAUAUCAGGAGGAACACCGGCGGCGAAGGCGGCCCUCUGGAUCGUUGCUGACGCUGAGACGCGAAAGCGUGGGGAGCAAACAG
rnacentral:rRNA from 1 species